rnacentral:rRNA from 1 species
GACGAACGCUGGCGGCGUGCCUAACACAUGCAAGUCGAACGGAGUUGCCCUUCGGGACAACUUAGUGGCGAACGGGUGAGUAACGCGUGAGAAACCUGCCUUUCAGUGGGGGACAACAGUUGGAAACGGCUGCUAAUACCGCAUAACGUCAUCCUGCCGCAUGACAGAGUGACCAAAGAUUUAUCGCUGAGAGAUGGGCUCGCGUCCGAUUAGGUAGAUGGUGGGGUAACGGCCUACCAUGCCGACGAUCGGUAGCCGGACUGAGAGGUUGAACGGCCACAUUGGGACUGAGACACGGCCCAG